UUAAAACGACCUUGCGUCAAUCCUGAUGAAAUUAGCAUCGCUGCAUUUUUAGAUACUUGCUAUGGAUGUACUUUGAUCACGGUAAGAAGAAGUAAUAGAUUUUUUUGAUCCCCCAGUUGAACAGGAGUGUUCUACUUUUCUAGAUGAGAAUCCGGAGACAAACAUGUUAAAGCCUUUUAGAUUUACAGGCUGUGUUUUACUUUUCUUUAAAUGCAAGCGAUGGGAAUUACUAACCCUGGUCAAGAAAAUUUCAUUUCCCCCAUCCCGCUAAACGGCUCUGGUCGACAUAUGUUUGUUAUCAGAGAGAGGUGCUAUGAACACAGAGCCAUUUUCUUAGCAGCUUUUUGACUGUAUGUUACCAUAGUCCCACGCGGCAUUGGUCCUUUCCCAUUGGGAAGUCAUGAAUAAGAGACUAUGAAGCUUGCACGUCAGGUCUUCCUCAAUUAAUCCACCAUUAGCAUGUUUGGGAUCCACUACUGGAUGGUUAACAGCAGCUUUGGUAACUGUAUGCUGUCCAUACCCAAUUAUGCUCUACUAAAAAUGAACUCUGCAGACCAACCUUGAGCUGUCAGUGUCUCCCGUUUUCCUAUUUUAACGUUUGUAUGUAGUGGCAGGCGACAGAUGGUGUAGAUCAGAUCGAUUUGAUUGCAUUAGGCGAUUUUUUUCCUCCUCUCCCUCCGACUCCUUUUCUGGAAGCCCACAUCAUCUGAAAGGCGAUCGCCGGGGACCCGGAAAGCACCAGCAGCCGCCGAUGUGUGAAGGCAACUGGGCACGGCCAGCCAGAGGCGCCGGGCUUCGUUCCCAGGGCACAGUAAUCCGGCACCAGGAGAGAAAGCCGCGUUCUGCUGCCCAGAGCCUAUUCCCCGACACAUAUCAGAUGACUCCCUGGUUUUACACACAGUUGGAGUUCUGCUUGAAACCUGGAUUUAAAGGGGAUCUGUUGCUGUGAAUGACAUCUAUUCCAAGCACCCAGAGAGAACUGAUGGAGCACACAGAUGGGAAUAGGAUGCCAGGCAAGCACAGAGGAAGAAAUCAGGAAAUCACCAGAACUGGAAGUACAGCAGCCAUUGGAUAAUGGGACGGGAUCACUCGGCAACUCUGUGGAUUCUCCUUCUCCUUCCUCUGUAGGGGAAAUAUAGUUAUGGAUUUAUUGCCCCGGUGCAGCAGUUCCAGCAGCAGCAGCAGCAGCAGCCUCAGCAGAUUUCUGACUCUCUUCGGUGACGGGUAUUCUUGGGUGGAUAAUACGGAUUACGUUGUUAUUGCUUAAGAAUACGCGUAGUCGAGGAGAGUACCCGCGGCAGGCAGGCAGGCAGCGGCCGCCCCCAGCCCAGCAGCUGGCUCCUAAUCUACUAUAGUUGCCAAGGUAGCCCCUUUUUGAUCUUUUCCUGCACUUUGCUAUGUCUCUCUCUAUGUCUGUGAUUAGGUGAUCCCAGGGGUUGCUAUGUACACGGCAGGGGUAGGAGACUCUGGUGAUGAGUCUAGUCUUCUGCAUCCUAGGCUAGUUCCCCACGGCUUCUCUUUCCCCAAAGCGUGUGCGCGGGAGGGGCUGCCGAGCCCAAACCGUGUCCGGCUGGGACAGUGCCGAGCCGGUGGGGGGGGAGGGGGAUGUGACUAUGACCUUUGUCCUCAUGUGUCCCCCACCCCCUCCCCAUCAAUGCUGUGAAAUACUGAGAGACCUUUCUGGUUUGGGCACUUAGUAGAGCGUCAGGCGAUGGCUCUGGAAUAGGCAGAGAGGAGAGAAAACCUGCCGCGACCUAAACCCGGGGGAGCAAAGGGGAAUCGCCUGAGAUCGGCUUUGUAAUCCGUUGCUUGAGCUGCAUUGUUGCCAAGGGGUCUGUAGGGAGCUGCCUGGCUGGUCUCCUGAUGAUGGCGGGCAGGUGUCGAGGGCUGGGAACUGGGCUGAACGCGGUUAGACGCGCUCAGAGGGGGGCCCUAUCCCGCGACUCCUGCGCAGGCAUCCUGCCCAUUGGCUUCCACUGGAGAUUACAUUGGUUUCCGUGGGAGGUUUGGGUGCGCAGGGGACGCAGGAUGGAGACUUACCUGGUCCUCUACCCCUGGAGCCCUCUUGCGCUGAUUCCCUUCGAACACGAUCCCUGGUGCAGUGCAGGACCCGGCAUAGGGAGAGCAUGACAAAGCUGCGCCAGGACGUGCACAAGCAGUUGUUUGCUGAUGAUCGGUUACACGUAGGUACCUUUAUUCCCAGUGUGGGUCUGGCACUAGCCACGGGCUAAGCAAGCAGCCUAGGCACUAUUUGGCCUGUGCAAAUUCAAUUCUCAGGACAUCAGUACCCAGAACACACAGUCCGCCCGCCCACGCUGCCAGUGCAUUGUAACAUUCCAAACAUGGGUCCGAAGCAGGUUUUUUAUUCUCCUUCAUAGGGCCUGAUGCUGGCAGUCGAGGGGGCUCACUCCUCCGUGGCAUUGGCCUCUGGUGUAAAGAGACCCCACAAUAGAGCUCACCCAGCUUCCACCCCAUGCUGCACUCUCCCGGGGUCUGGGACCGCACAGCGCACCCAUCUGCCUGCAUUCCGCCGGGGACGAUUCUCGCCCUAAUCCUCCUCUACGGAUUCAGGGAAGCUCAGCUCAGUAGCUGGGCAAAGAGAAGACAAACCCCACCUUGCCUGCUAAAGACAGAGACAUGGGAAACGCUGUCAAGUCCUGGACUUGGCAAGAAGCAACAUGGGGCCAGAACUAGCACCCCAGCGAGUGCCCUAGAGCCCCAGUUUCUUUUUUUCUGUCAAUGCUAAUCGCUUCGCUGUGCUCAAUGCAAGGGGUGCAGAGGAGCAACUAAACACUCCCAAGAGAUCUACUGGCCUCCAGUAGAACGCUACAGGUCGCAUGAAUUCCUGGGGAACUCAAGUGACAGGAGUUAAUCUAAAGGGCAGCUACCCAAAGACGUUACACCCGCUGGAGCAUUCAUAUAGGUACAGCUAGACAGCGAUGGACGGGGAAUUUGCUGUUGAGUUAAAACUUUCCCAUCUCAGAGUAGUUUCUGAUUUCUGCUCAUUCCCUCACUUCAUCUUUUCCCUUAAUUAAGCAAAUGAACCUCCACCCUAAAUUGCCAGCUUUCGCUCAGAACUCUUUCCUGACAAGAACAGGGCAAACUUAUUUUUUUAGCAAAUCCGCCUCCAAGUCAAAGUAUAUCCCCAUGGUCCCCUUUUUAACACUGCAAACUGCUGGUAUGGUCUGUGGCCUUCUGCAACCGCCGCCCACAGCCAGAACAAGAGCCCUUUGGGGCAAUGUAAUAUUAAGAAAUAAUACGCAGACGCAAGAAGGCAAAACAAUGUUUUCCUUCCAGGGUUUUGGGAGGGGGGGGAGGGUGUUAUUACACAGUUUGUAUUUUGUUGAGUUCAAAAGGCGAUAGUAGAUUUUGUCCCGCCGACACGCUUCAGCGAUCUCAACUUUCUUGCUACUCUGUCUCUGUUCUUGCCAUGGUGCCUCUAGCCCAGUCGGCAGCGUUCGAGCUGUUCACAGCACCUUCUCUGAACUAAACCGAGAGUUUGAUGCAUGUCGCCCAGUGUAGGGAAACGGAGGCAGGUACCUUUUGGAAGGAGCCUUUUAUGGCGACAGCACAGUAGGCACUGCCUAGCUUUGCUUUUUUUU